AGGGUUAGGGGUUGAAGGUUAAUGGGGCUAGGGUUAGGGGUUAGGGUUAGGGGUUAGGGGUUAGGGUUAGGGUUAGGGUUAGGGUUAGGGUUAGGGUUAGGGUUAGGGUUAGGGGUUAGGGUUAGGGUUAGGGUUAGGGGUUAGGGUUAGGGUUAGGGUUAGGGUUAGGGUUAGGGUUAGGGUUAGGGUUAGGGGUUAGGGUUAGGGUUAGGGUUAGGGUUAGGGGUUAGGGUUAGGGUUAGGGUUAGGGGUUAGGGUUAGGGUUAGGGUUAGGUGAGGGGACUCUGUCCCGUCUCCCAUAAGGAGCGGGGAAUGCGCUGGCCUUCCCCCAUCCGUACCCGUCCCUACGAUCCCAAGACUGCUGGCGGAAACGUCGAGCCCUCCGGCCGUAUCUGACUUCCGUCCAGCCUUGAUUGUAGCCACUCAUGUUGGAGUGGCUAUUGAAAUGUUUUAUUUAUUUUAAUAUUGGUUUGUUUAAAGAAAUAAAAGACUGAUUUUUACCUAUAAAAGGAAACCUAUCUGUAUAAACAAAGGAAACUUAACUUUUAAAAUUUAAACUUUUCUUAAAAUAAAAUGCUGAUUGUUUUAAUCAAAAUGUAAAAAUAAAAUGAAUAAACUGUUUUUAAAUAUUUUUAGAUGUUUUUAAAGUUUUUAUCAAGUUUUUUAAUUUUUUUAUAUUUUUUUGUUAUUUUUUUACUUUUUUUCUCAAUAAACUAUGUACAAAUGAAAUUUGUGUGCCCACGACGACGUUUCGACCCGUUGUGGGUCUUCUUCAGGUCUGGCACACCUCACUUCAACAAAAAAAACUCUCUCUGAAAUGAAAAACAAAAGAUGCUGGCUGGUAAUUAUAAAGAUGUUCUCUCUUCAAGCUUCUGAGUGGAAAUGAUUAAGCCCAACCCACUGCUCCCUUUUAUAGUCUCUGGCAAAUAAAUACAAUGAAUUUUGUUAUUUUAUUAUCAUGUGCUCUUUUAAAUUUUAAAUUUUAAGCCCUUAACUAUGAAUUACUUUUAACCCUUUACUAUACAACAAUGAUCUGUAUCCCAUGUAUUUAUUAAAAUGUAUUUAUUUAUGUAUUAUUUAUUAAUUAAUUAUUUAUUUAUUUAAAAUUAAUAUAUUUAAUUUUUAACUGUCC